CCCGCCCCCGCCCCUGGAAAAUAGCCGACGCAACGAGAACACCGAUCGACAACUCGGAUCUCGAAGACUCACCACGGCACUGCACCUACACCCAUACAUACUCACCUCACCCGCUCACCCGCACACAGGCGUGCGUAGGCCCAGGUACACACGCACACAGUACACUACAGCAGCAACAGCGGAGAGGAUAGGAACCAAAGCCGCCAGGAGGGAGUCAUCGAGUUAACGCGAGCGGUGGCCUAGCUCAAUCGCUUGCCUCCGUUUCGGUGAAGCGUGCUCAUCAUCCCUUUUUCCGUCUCUCCGCCCUCCCUCCCCUCCUCUGCAGACAGAGGCACCAGCAAAGCGAUGGAAAACCCAUUCGAGGACUUGCGGCCGGCGCUCCGCAGCGAGGAGGAUGAGAUUCGAAAAGGCGUUUUCAGUCAAGCCCUGCGCAACCUCCAGCAGGCGUCCUUGGAGGAGCGUCGUAGAUGGUGCAAGGCGAUUCGCGAGGCCACGGCACGCGGCGGCGCAAAGACCAAGAAAAAGGCUACGUCCGCUGCUGCGGUUGCCGAGUUUUCCGACAAUAUCGGCCCCUCCACGGCCAUAUCCUCUCCUCCGCAACGCACGGCAAGCAACAGCGCGGCAUCAGCCUCGCCUCCGACGCCCUCCGCACUUACGGCAGCGCAUUCCACCGAAGAGGCCGAUGUUACGGUUGGGCAGAAACGCGCACGCAGUGAGAGCGAGGCCUCUCCAACCGGCGCCAUGGCAACGGCCCUCGGUGGACCGCUAGACGGCGCGCCGCAGCGUUGCGCACCACAGACAUCGCAGACGGUGCCCGAGUCAACUACUGUGGGCUCGCAGCCAUCUCCUACCGCCGCUCUCGCCCCAGCAGAUGGGAAGCCGUCAUCAACUGCGGCUGCAUCCGACCCGGCCGCCGAAGAAACGGAGGAGUCGGUGAAGGAGUGCAUUGCGGCGUACAUGCGUAGCCUCCUCGACCGGGUCGUUGGUACCGGUAUCGACAACCUCGCUGUGCCGGCCCUCAAGGUGCUGUGCAUGAUGCUGGGCAUUCACACCGAGGUGUCUAACAAGUUGGGCUUGUACAGCAUUCUUGCUGACUUCUACUUUAGCAAGUGCGUAAAGCUCGGCAAACGGGUGAGCCGCGACACGGUUUUCGAGCGGCAUGUAGAACAGGAGGUGAGCAUGCUGAGGAGGGUAGCGUCAGCGGCGCCCUCAGCCGGCCGAGCAGAGAAGAAAGUGGCGGCAGCGGCCCCGGAGAAGGCUGCCGUGACGGUCGCAAAGUCAUCCGCCAUCCUUGCCGACAAGGUCGAAAAGACGGAGGUGAAGAGGGAGCAGGCGGUAGUGCGGAAGAAAAUGUUUUCAGCCCCGCUUCCCAAUCCCAGCCGUGCAGCGAAGGCGGUGCCGAAAGCCGACCCGGUCACGGAACACUAUCUCAAGUACGAAGACUACAACGACAACACCUUCGAGGACGACGCGGCGGUGGCAGCGCCGGCGAGCGAUUACGCGUAUGGCGGCGACGUCAUUUACCAGCAGCCGGUGUUCGCGCGGUCAAGCGACAAGACAGCCUCGUCGUCGCACAUGGCCAAAUAUGAGGGGUCUGGCGCAGGCGGCGAAGAGGAUGAUUCGUGGACGCUGCCACUGCUAGAGCGCAAAGUCGCCUCUAUUGUGCAGCUGUAUGAUCCUGUGACGGUGGCCAUUGUUGUAAAGAAGUUAUCGCAAAUGGGGUACCGCGACGGCGGUGCCGAGUCGCGCGUCGAGCAGAUUUUGCGACGCUUCCAUGAGCGUCAGCUAAUCUUUUAUGACAACGGCAUCGCCUACCUUAUGUGAGCUGUGAACCCCCGCCACCCGCACCUUUGCCCACCCACACCCCUUUAAGCCGUUGACCAGCCACCGUUUUCUUUUUUUUUCUUCCUUUUGGUGCGCCCUCUUCGCUUUUCGAAGAGGCGUGGCGUACGCCUCAGUACCUCGAUGCGACUCUUGCAUCGUUUCUCCUUCUCCGACUGCCAGGUCUUGCCUGGCCCGCUCCCUUGCGCGCUUGCCUGUCUGUCUGUGUGUGUGGAAUUCAGGGGGAGGGCUUGUUGGCACUGAGCAAAGAAAUGCUGCGAGGCACGAGGAGACAUACGGGCACAGGCACCUCUUCUUCUCCCAUGUGCCGCAUCCUAUUCGGUGCAUCUUGUGUAUCGCAUUGUCUUGCGACACGCGCCUCUCUCGAUUUCGUUGUCUUAGACUCAUGCAGCCCAUCACUUGGCUGCACCCCAUAGAUAAACGGCGAAAGCGUCGUGGCUGUUGUGGCGGCUAACGAACGAGUGUGCCCUCGUUGAAGAUGCUUUCACCCCCACUCCUCCGCUCUCUGUCUUUUGGCGGCGGGGGUGCCAUCUUCUUCAUUCUUUGAUUCGGUGAUCGUGGCGUCUUGUGCAUCUGUGUGCGUGUGUUUGUGCUCUCCCGCCCCCCCUCCCGCCCGCCUGCCCUUCUCUCUAUCUUCGGACGCCAUCCCCGACAGCUGUUGCCGCCUGCAUGCGUUUCUUCGAUUUUUUUUCGUUCUCCCUCCGCCUUUGAUAGUGAUGAUCUUAAGAAGUUUUGGGUCUUUGCAAUGUGCGUGCGCGCGUGUUUGUGCGCAUGUGUCUUUUUCAUCAUCGACGCUCGCAUCACAUGUGCAGAGGAAGGAAAGGCUGUGGCUGUGCGUGCACCGACGCGGACAGAGAUGUUCGUGCAAGCAAGCGCGCAUGGAUGACACGACAGCACACACACACACACACACACAGCUAUGCUCCUACC
rnacentral:misc_RNA from 1 species